CCCUGUCGGGUUAGGGUUUUGGCGAGGAAUUGGCCGUAGUUGCCGAAUCCGAGGAUGGCGAUCUUCAGGGCUUCGGACUUGAUGUGUCGGGAGCGGAGGUGCGCCUCGUAGUCGUAGGGCUGGGCGGCGUCGAUGCAGCGGAUGCGGAGGGACCGCGAGUAGGAGGAGGAGGAGGAGGAAGGUUGCCGUGGAGAAUGGCGAGGGAGGGAGACGGUGGAGCGAGAGGAUGGGAGGAGGGAGUUAGUGGCGGGGUGGAAGGAAAUGGAAGGAGGAGAGUGUUUGGUGGUGGCGGAUCGGAGUGGAAACGCCGCCAUUGUUUGCGGCGGCGAGAGAGUCGACGGAGCGGAAGUCGGAGGUAAUUAAUUUGCUGAGACGUCGGUGGUGGAGAAUUCAGCAGCUUAAAGUAACUAAAAAAGUUGUUGGGACGUGCGUUAGCUGACGCCUUUCGAAUGCGUGGGUGGAACUUGGUCGGUUAGUUAAUCAGUCUUGGUUGGUUAAUAAUUGGUUUGAAAUUUACUGCCCACCGACCGAAUUUGAACAGUUUUCAAAACAAAAUACGUACAAAUGUGAAGAUAAUAUCAAACCCUCAACCAUUGUACCAACCGAGUUGGUUUCAACAGUGAGUGAGUUAAUCGAUAUUUGAUAACCAUCAACCGUGACCAAACCUUAAUUGUAAUAGCUCAAUCAUACAUGAGAGUGUUUUGAAGUUAUAUAGCCGUAGAAGGUUUCCUUUCUAAUAGAUUUUUAAUUUUACUGAUAAAUAAAUGCUUUACUAUUCUUCGUUUUAAUUUUUGAAAAAAUGUCCCAAAAUUCAAAUUCUAUACAUACAAUUAUGUGAAUGUCCUUCGAUCCUCACCCCACCUCUUCCGGCUUUACCACCUUAACUUCCGCCGCCGGCCACUUCCUCCUGCACCCACCAUCACCGCCACCACCUCCUACACAUCCACCACCACCACAGACACACCCAUUGCCACCACCAUCUUAGGUACCGGCUGCCCAAAGUAGGAGUCCGAAACAGGUCCCAGCGGCCCAAGUGGUGGAGCCGAAAGAGGUGGAAGUGGAGGUGAUGGCGUUCGCGUAAAUAUACAUACCAAAUUUGAAUGUUAGAGUGUUUUAUUUUUUAAAAAACUAGGCGGCGAAUAGCAAUUCAACAUCAAACGGUAAAUAUUAAAUAGCCGUAAAAGGUUUGCUCAUUAGGUGUAUUUAUAUGAAUUACUUGAAUAAACAAUUAUAUUAGGUGCUAUGGUAGUAGAAUUAUGUGUUGAUGAUUCGGUACAACUUUGCAUUAAGUUCUGCAGAGUUUGCAAACACGAAGAUUAAUUUGAAUAAUGCUCAUUUUUCCAACCAAAUUUGAAUUGGUAUAGUAACUGAAGUGAUUUCCAGGCUCAAUUUCAAGCAAAAUAACUUACUACUCCCGUUGCAAUUCCCCAGCAACCCAUAUACUUUGAAUUGAAGGGCACAUCCUAAAAAUAGUUCGAAAUCCCAAGUUCUUCAA
rnacentral:lncRNA from 1 species